CAGCCGCCGCGGGAAUACAGAGGGUGCGAGCGUUAAUCGGAUUUACUGGGCGUAAAGCGUGCGUAGGCGGCUUUUUAAGUCGGAUGUGAAAUCCCUGAGCUUAACUUAGGAAUUGCAUUCGAUACUGGGAAGCUAGAGUAUGGGAGAGGAUGGUAGAAUUCCAGGUGUAGCGGUGAAAUGCGUAGAGAUCUGGAGGAAUACCGAUGGCGAAGGCAGCCAUCUGGCCUAAUACUGACGCUGAGGUACGAAAGCAUGGGGAGCAAACAGGAUUAGAGACCCCGGUAGUCCCUGUCUCUUAUAC
rnacentral:rRNA from 1 species